AUGCCAAUUCUUUUCUCACAAGAGCUGCUCAUCUCCGUAGUGGUCGUGCUGCUUGUUCCCCUCUACCUGUACCUCAGGGCUAGUUGUAGAUCAAAGAACCCAUCAGUGCUCCCAACAAACUGGCCAAUAUUGCACAUGUUCCCUUCCUUAGUGGCCAACAUCCACAACAUCCAUGACUAUGGCACCCUGGUCCUCGCUGGAUCAGGCCACAACUUCAGGGCGCACGGCCCACCUGGGACCGGAAUGCGGUUCUUCAUCACAUGCGACCCUAGGAACGUUCGACACAUCUUUACAACCAACUACACCAAUUUCCCCAAGGGCGCGGAGUUCGCCGCUAUCUUCGACAUCAUGGGCGGCAGCCUCUUCACCAUCGAUGGCGAGCUGUGUCUUAGGCAGCGCGCCAAAGUCAAGGGCGUGCUCAGCAAUCCACGGUUGGUUGCUAGGAUUGCGGCUUGCUGCCGUGACAAGGUGAAGAACAUCCUGCUCCCUUUAUUUACCCACAUGGCGAGCACAGGCACCCCGUUCGACAUGCAAGAAAUGAUGUCGAGGUUUAUGUUUGACCUGGCUGCUACGUCUCUCUUCGGCGUGAACCCCGGCCUCCUAUCCCCAGACAUGCCACCCAUGGACGCCGCAGUCGCCAUGGAUAUAGUCAUGGAGGUCGGUUUUCUCCGACACGUGAUGCCGGCUUCUUGCUGGAAGUUGAUGAAGCAACUAAACAUCGGCCCUGAGAGAAAGCUUCGCAUGGCGCACAGGGUGCUACGAGGGUUCGUUGUGGAGAUGAUGAAGAGGAGGAAGAUCAACACAUGUCAUGUUGGUAAUGACGAGGAACAAGAUGGUGUGGAUUUUGUGUCUUCGUUCCUCCAUGACCCUGACUAUGCUGAUGAUGACUUGUUCCUUGCUAUGAUGAUUGGUUACAUGGUCGCUGCAAGGGAUACAAUUGGAACUACCCUAACAUGA
rnacentral:rRNA from 1 species